CCGGCCCGCCCCGCCCCGCCGCAGUCCGGUUCCGACCCGAGCGCCGGGCGCCGGGCCGAGCCCGCGAUGGAAUAAUGCCCAGCGGCCCGCCCGGUCCCGGCCGGUUUUUACCUGGGUUGCAGCCUUCACCCUAAAGUCUUUGUUUGGCAGUGGAAAGCCACUGGAUCGCACUAGGAAGAUGCAGGUCUUUUGGAAUCACUCGAGCAACAGUUGAGAAAGAAAAAAGAUCUUAGAGAACUACUGUCUCAGCGCCUUCUUGUCGCGGGGUGAGGUCCGGAGAGGUGACCUGCCUUCCCCAAGUGGUGGCCAGUGGGGGAAAGGCCAGUUUCCAGAUCUUCAAGCUCCCAGGCCAGUGCUCCUUUGACUGUCAGGACAUGCCUGCCAGGCCUGCAGCAGAUUGGAGACACAUCUUCUUGCAUUAUAACCUUCACCACUUUCUCUUGGUCUGUUCCAUCUGUUAUUGCUGCUAUUUUUGAGGUAUGAGUUAUCUUAAACUACACAUUUUGAGAGAAGGAGUUGAAAAGAUCACCAGCCCCUACUAGUUCAGAUGCCAAAUGGAUUUGGGAUUCUGCUAUCAAAUAGAUUUGAAAUACAAAACGGGUGCCAAGUCCGAAAGAGGGGGAGUAUCUUUGCACAUCCUGUACCACGUGAUGUUCAGAGACUUGAUUAUCCACCCUCUUUCUGUGAGCCCAGGAGCCCCCACCUUCUCCUUAUGAGCGCUCUGAGUGGCUGGUUUUUCAUUUUCAGUAUGUGGUAAUGUCGGAGAGAAAGGACUUUUUUGCAAGCUUACCAUUUGGUGAGGGAAACCGAAAUUCCUUGUGCCUCCCCAGCUCUCCCCAGCCACAGUGAGCCAGAUUUUCAGAAGGAGUGUGAGCUUUACAAUGUGUGCAUUGCAGUGGAGCCCUCCCUAAGUGGACCCACUCCCGGCCUGCUUCUAGAGGAAAGAAGGGAGCCAGGUUCCUGCACUUUCCCUACCAAGUCCUCAGUUGUACUCAACUGGAUCCUACUGUCCCCUUCUGUUUUCCCUCCCUAUUUCUUCUCACUUCUCUCUCCACUGCUGUGUUGCGCAUGGGCUCCAGAGGUCUUUUCUCGGGACUGUACAGAAGAUCCCCACAUACAUAACAGAAGAGUGACGGUAGCACUUACUGAGCACUUGCUGUAUGCCCUGGACUUGUUACUGUCUAAGAAGCCCCAAGGAACAGAGGGAACCCCUUUGGGAGCCUUGCCCAGAGGAUCCCGAAUCCUCAGAUUCGCCUGGGAUUGAGUCAUUUUUGCACACAUCCAAUAAACAUUUGCUGAGUGGCUCCACUGUGGGAGGUGCCAGUCGCACAGAGAUGCAUAGGGCUAUUUCGAGCAUCCUCUUUCAAUGUCAGCCACAUACUUCUGUAUUUAAUUAAUCAGCUCAACAGCUAUACAUCGAGCACCUGCUCCAUGCUAUGCCCUGGUGAAGUCCUGAUGCACAGUGAUGAAAAGGCAGAUUGGCCCUGGCCUCCUGGAGCUUGCAUUCCAGGAGGAGACAGACAGCUAGGAAGACAGGUAGCUUCUCACAGAUGGAAGGUUGUGGUGAUAUGUGUAAGCAAGGAAAGCAAGCAGAGUCCAGAGGAGAGUGUGAGGGCGCACUGUUGGCUCUGGGUUUUCCAGGGAAGGCCUGGUCUGAGGGUGGAAAGUGGAGGAGAAACUGUCCAGGAAGAGCAGUCUAGGGGGGAGGGGGGCCCUUCCAGGCAGAGGGAUGGGGCUGCUCAGUCCUAUAUGCACUGGAGGGCUGCAUAUGUCACAGGGAGUACAGAGACAGGAGGCCAGAGUGUAAGGGAGCCGUGAGGGAGAAUGGCACAAGAUGAGGUGGGGGGGGCACCAACACAGACAGGAGAUUCGCCCCGCCCAGCGAUGCAGAAGCAGCAUUGGUGAGCUGAACCUCAGCAGUGGAAUUGAUCCAGAUUUAGGGGAUGGGGUUGCUGGGGAUCACAUUAGGCUUCCUGCAUCCUGGGCUAGCACUCCGCCACUGAGCUACAUCCCCAGCCCUUUGAUUGACAGUUUUAAGACACUGCUUUAUGGAGAGUUCAUAGGGAACAAAGAGCAGAGGCAGGGAGGCCACUACAGAGGCCCUCGUGGUUUCAUCUUGAGAGACAGGGAAGCCCAGAGGAGGAACAUGUGGCGGGGAAAGUCAAGCUCUGCACUGGCCUGUGAAGGCUCAGAUGCCGGGUGGCCUGUGUGCAGACUGCAGGCAGGAGGGAGAGCAUGAGCUCUGCGCCUCAGAGGAAGUGAAUGGGCUGAGCCACUAGAGCACUUGCUAGCACAGGUUCCCCUGGGUCGCUUUUCCGAGUAUCUGCUCAUGUCCCCCUUGCCUGGAAUCCUCUUCCUCUCUCGAUGGCACACUCCCGCACAUCGUUUAACAUGUCCCCACGUCACUAUCUCCUGGAAGAUGCUUCUCACUCCCUGCCCCACUCCCCGAUCCCUUCAUCUUGGUGUUCAUAGCAGUCAGUUUUUUCUAGUAUCUUACGCUACCACAUAGUACUCAAAGUAAGUGUAAAUUCGACAAAUGCUAGCUAUUAUUUGUAUUGAUUGGGGUGAUAUGCAUAGCAAUAAAAAGACAUUCCAUUAAGAGAAAUAUGAUCGUGUAUUUGUUUCCUGUAGCUGCAGUAAUGGAUUACUAUACACUUAGUGACUUAACAUAAAUGUACAGGUUUCACAGUUCUGGAGGUCCAAAAUAGGCCUCAUUAGUCUAAAAUCAAGUGGCGACAGGUCACAUUCCUUCUGGAAGCUCUAGGGUGAAUUCCUUUCCUUGUCUGUUCCGCUUCUAAAGGCACCAGCCUGGCUCAGCUUGCAGUCUUCAGAGCCAGCAGCACCAGCCUUUGUCCUCGUCUUGAACCCCCUCAGUCCCCUGGCUUCCUCUUCGACUUGAAGUGAGUGUAUUGUCUAGGCUACUCGCC
ensembl:lncRNA